rnacentral:rRNA from 1 species
CCCUUAGAUGUCCUGGGCCGCACGCGCGCUACACUGAACGGAUCAGCGCGUUUUCCCUUCCCGAGAGGGACGGGUAACCUGCUGAACCCCGUUCGUGGUAGGGAUCGGGGCUUGCAAUUAUUCCCCGUGAACCAGGAAUGCCCAGUAAGUGCAAGUCAUAAGCUUGCGUUGAUUACGUCCCUGCCCUUUGUACACACCGCCCGUCGCACCUACCGAUUGAAUGGUCCGGUGAAAUCUCCGGACUGGCGUGAGUCGGAGCAAUCUGACAAACACCGGAAAGUUGAUUAAACCUUACCAUUUAGAGGAAGGUGAAGUCGUAACA